rnacentral:misc_RNA from 1 species
UGGAUUGACACCUACACUUGUUGAGAUUGUUCCUUAUGCUGGUUUGCAAUUUGGGACUUACGAUACAUUCAAACGCUGGAUGAUGGCCUGGAAUCAUCUUAGAUCUUCUAAUGCUAUCCAUGGUGAUGAGCAAGUGUCAAGCUUCCAGCUUUUCAUCUGCGGUUUAGCUGCUGGGACAUGUGCGAAAGCUGUCUGUCAUCCUCUUGAUGUUGUCAAGAAGAGGUUCCAGAUUGAAGGACUACAA